CUCAGUUCUGUGAAUCAACAACAGAAUAUGACUCUCCAUGGACUCUACAAGCAAGGUACAUCCAAGAAAUGACUCUCAAAGCAAAAUUUUUAUCAAUGUACACACUAUGAUCACUGAAUUUGAGAUUUCAAUUUUUUCACAACACUGUCGGUUUCGCGGCCCCCGACAGUGAUGCUAUAUCAAUUCCCGUGAACUGUACGAAUAGAAUCCGUACUACUACCCCAAUGGUCAGGUGCUGGUGCUCUCUUCUGGGCCCCUCCAUCCUGAGUUCGAUCUCAGACCUUGGCCCCUUUAACAAGUAAAAUGGGCGGGCGGGCGGCCGCGGCCCCACAAUUUUUUUUAUUUUUUUGUAGGUCUUUAUUAAAUGCUCCUUAGGACAAAGGUCAACCAGUCCACUUGCCCUCCAUCUUCCCCGGCCCUCCCAAAUCCCCCAA
rnacentral:lncRNA from 1 species